ensembl:lncRNA
UAUUUGUCCAGACAUAAGCUUAAAUUUUCUCAUAGUUAGCUUUUAAAAUCUUCAUUACCAAUAUUUAGUUUUAUAAGACAUAGUAAAACCUUAUAUUACUAAAUGUUUAGAUCAGUUUUUACUUUUUCAAAAGACUUAGAGUAGUAGUUUUGCUUCAUUCCUAUGGCCUAUAAUUGGCAGUGAGCUAUAUUGUCACUUAAAAAUCAGUACUUUUAUCAUCAGUUAUCCUACAUUCUACCAGUGCAAAAUGCAUUCAUUAUUUAAAGCCUUCCUUGUAUAUUAUGAUCAUUUCAAAUUGUAUUUUCCAAAGAGCUUUUAUAAAUCUUUUGCGGAAAUGAUAUAACAUGAAAAAGAUGAGGAAAACUGGGAUGCAAAUUUUAGUUAAAUGUUAGCACUCAUGUUAUUGAAAAAAGUCAUUUAACUUUGUGUGUUACUGUUUCUGCCUUUGAAAUGGUGUCUCUACCUAAUGUAAGCAAGUAGUGGGAUCCAAAAGAAAUACAUUUUCCAUGUUUGUUUCAGUCUCACAAAGUUCUUUUCCAGCUAGCAUUUUCCUUUGAAGAACAGAAGACCCAAAGAGGGAAAACUUACUCUGGGCCCUGUUUAGAGUCUGGAAUAGGGUUAACUCAAGGAAAAGUCAACUGUUGCUUAGAGUCGCCAAUUCUGAGUACUCUCAAGAAUAAUACUUCAAAGAAAGUGUACCAACACUCCUCAAAAUCCAAGAGUGCCAAGAAUGCUGUAGGCUCACAGAAAACAGGACUUACCGGCAGCUGUGAUGUCUUUGAGAGAUAGUAAUAUCCUCACCACUUUAGAGUAAACAGAUAUACUUUUGCUGUAAUAAUUCAAGGAGAAAGCAAGAACUUCUAGAGAAACACUGUAUCCUGACCUGAGUGACAGAGGAUGGGAUCCACAGCUCAAGUGGAGCCACAAGCAUAGGAGAAGAAAGAGGGACAUUGCCCCAUGUUGAAAGGAUCUCUAUGAAGGAAGUAUUAUCUGAGUUUUCUAGAUAAAGAAACAAAAGCUAAGAAGGCUGAAGUAAUUUGCCUAACAUUUUAUAGCCAAUGAGAUGCAGUGCUGGACUGGAGGCUCAGAAUCCUUAGUGACCAAAGCCCUGAUUCCUACACCAACCGUAUGCCUUCUCCGAUUGAUCCAACUAACAUGCAUGUGGGUGUGAUGGGGUGGGUGUCAGUGCAUGGGUGUUUCUCUGCCUUCUAAAAUAAUCAUGAAACUGCAUGUAAGAUUCACAAUUACCCCUUACAAAGGAAAUAUUGCUAUUUUAAAUUAAGGAACCAAUACCAAGUAAAUAAUGGUUUUUUUUCCUGUACUGUGUUACAAAGUAUAAGUUGAAAGAAUAUUUUAAGCAAACCUCAAAUAUAUUAAAGUUUUAUAACAGAAAAUCACUUAUUUAAAUGUAUUAACUAAAAAAUGCAUAAAAUCAAUUUUUUCCCCCGAAGAGCACAAUAUACAAC